rnacentral:rRNA from 1 species
UACGAAGGGUGCUAGCGUUGUUCGGAAUCACUGGGCGUAAAGCGCGCGUAGGCGGCUAAACAAGUCAGAGGGGAAAUGCCGGGGCUUAACCCCGGAACUGCCUUUGAAACUGUUUAGCUAGAGACUCGGAGGGGAUAGCGGAAUUUCUAAUGUAGCGGUGAAAUGCGUAGAUAUUAGAAGGAACACCGGUGGCGAAGGCGGCUAUCUGGACGAGUACUGACGCUGAGGCGCGAAAGCGUGGGGAUCAAACAGG